rnacentral:rRNA from 1 species
UACAGAGGGGGCAAGCGUUGUUCGGAAUUACUGGGCGUAAAGGGCGCGUAGGCGGCCUGCUAAGUCGAACGUGAAAUCCCUGGGCUCAACCCAGGAACUGCGUCCGAUACUGGUUGGCUUGAAUCCGGGAGAGGGAUGUGGAAUUCCAGGUGUAGCGGUGAAAUGCGUAGAUAUCAGGAGGAACACCGGUGGCGAAGGCGGGUCUCUGGGCCGAUACUGACGCUGAGGAGCGAAAGCGUGGGGAGCAAACAGG